UCCUGGGAUUCGGCGGUGCUCCGCCAUACACCGGCGUGGUGCUUCUGUGGAAGGAGAAGCGGCCGCCGGCGGUGGGACAGAGGAGGUGCAGCACGGCGAGGGUACUGCGGGUGGUGGUGGCGUCGGGCGCGGUGAUGAAUGGAAGGGGAGGACCAGCUGCAGAGGUUUCUUCUUUGUUUUUGUUUUUCUGGUGCGAGAUCCGAGAGAGAGGGAUGAGGCAGCAGAAGGUGUUUUGUUUUGUCUGAAACCGAAAGAGGAAGAGAACAGUGGCAACAGUGGAAGAGAAAGAAGAGGGACCGAGGCUUUAGCAACAGUGGCAAGCCUGCCAAAGCUCUGAUACCAAAGCUGAUGCAGCACUGUCUCGUGAGAAGAGUGGGAGAAAGGAGGAGGAGAGAGGAAAGAGGAGGGAAGAGGAUGAAGAAGAAUAGAGAGGGGAGAAGAGAGGAAGAUAGAAGGAAAGCAAUUUUGUUAAAACAUUCAUCCUGUCAACAAAUGCAUAGACCCUAUAUAUAGGGUUACGAAAUACAAAAAGGUCCCUCCAAAUAAACUAAUCCCACAAAAGCCAUAACACAACAAUAUGUACAUAAACCCAGUCAACAUAAAAUAAACUAACAUCAAAUCAGUCCAGCCAUAACGAAAGUGGCUGGACCCUCCUCCUGCGACGACCGUAGACCCGCGUCACUGGCGGUCCGGUACUGGUGUCCGCACCACAUUCCUUGAAACUUUCAAACUUAUGCUUUUGAAUUGAUUUUAAGUUAGAAUGUAUGAAGUUGGAUCAUUUUAGUUGAUUCUCCUGCAUCUUUGAUUUAUGAGUUCAACGUAUGUGAAGUAACUAAUUAAGUGUUCCGUAGGAUUUGCUUAUAUUUUAAUUAAUGUAUAAAAUUGAAUGCUUGAUUUGAUUUCGGUAAGAAAUUCGCAACUUUCCCUAGUCUCUUCUUUUAUUCCUCCAACUACACUAUCUUGUUUUUAAGAACAAAAGUGAUCUUUUGCUUCUCUUCCUCUUGCUUCCACCACUUUCCUUGUCAUAUUUUUUGAUUUUCAUCUUCUAGAUGUUUUCUGCUUUAGAUAUGAGGCAGAUCUGAAAUGAAAUUUGAUUCAAGCUGUAUUUCAUUCUUUAAGUUCUUCUAUAAUCUUUGUAUCGUGGUUAGCCAUACAAGUGCGUAACGCCCUGUACUUGGCAUUUUGUACCGUACCAGGCAUUUUGUACCAUACUGGUACUGAUCUGAGACUUGGUAUGAGACUUGAUAUGUUGUGACUCCUAUACCGGGCAUAUUGACACUGUACUAGCAUGGUAUCAGUACGGGGUCUAGCAUUGAGAUGGCGAAACUUGCUUGAUACAUUUGUCCUUCUCAUAGCUAGGUGCUCCUUGUUUAUUAGUGCUUAGAUCUCCUUAAGAAUGUAAACAUAAUUUUGCAAAACAAGGCCAUUCUUGAAGAUAGAUAAUGAUGGACAUUGUAUCCUUCAAUUGUACCGAAAAAAUAUUCUGGAUCUAUCUUUGCUAUAGGAACCAAAGCAUUUACUAUGGCUGCUUUAAUUGUGACUAGAUUAUGUUUCUAUGCUGUGGUUUACUAGAGACAUUGCCAUAAUCUUACUGCUUUUGAUCCCCAGUUUUGAUACUAAAUCCAAUCUCAAGAUCAAAAGAUGGAGUGUGACCAUCACUAACAUAAUCACCACUGUAUCCAUCAUCAUAUGCAUUGCCACCACAUCAUUGUUCCUCAUCAACCCCAUCAGCAUUAUCAGCAAUGUCCUCAUCAAGCUGCUUUCGACAAAAAAUCUUUAAUAUGUUCUGGAAAAGGGAGCUGGCAUCUGGUAAAAUUCUCUUCAUAUUGUUUUUGGCAGGCUGGAAGAAAAACUGAAAUUUUUGACCAGAAACAUGAGCUAGGAUAUGAACCGUGCCUUCCCUAAGGAUAUUGUUGUAAAUUUGUUACAUAGACCUAUCGGAGUAGUUUGUACUUUGUUGUAAUAUUAGUAAGCACCCUUAGUAUUUAUUCUCAUGGAAGUGUUUUCGUAAUUUAACUAAUGAAUGCUUGUAAAGGUUCAACUACAGAGUUAAUGAUGCCUUGUAUUCUGUGAAAUUACAAAGACACCUUCAUCUUUUGAGUACAUAACAGUAAAGAAAAGAGGUGUUUGGAUAAUUUCACACUCAUGUACAAACCUAUCAAAUACGCCUUAUUAGGGUCGGCGGAACCGGUAUCGGGCACCGUUCUGGUUGUCUGGCGGUACGAGUCGGUAUGGGCCCGAGCCGUGCCGUGCCGUGCCGAGCUUGUACCAACAAAGUAGAAGAGGCGGGGGAGAGGGAGAAUGAGAAGAAGAGAGAGAGAACGAGGAGGUUGGAGAGUCGCCAGGAAGCUGCAGAAGAAGGGCUCCCCUCCGGCCCCUGUUUCGAACUGCGCGGUUCGGGGCGUCCCGAUUCGUACUGACGAUGGACCGGGACGGUUCCAGGAAGGAAACCGAUAUGUGUCGCCUGAGGUGGAGAAGGAGAAUGAAAGAGAAGAAAAGAGAGAGGGAGGAAAACUGGCGGAGGGCCGGUGGAGGCCGCGUCCCUCUCUCCCCCUUCUCUCUCUCUUUUCCUCUCUUGUUCUCCCUCUCCUCCGUCUUUUCUACUGUUGGUACAGUGCCCGGUACUGGUUCCGCCGACGUUGCUUUUAAACCAUUCCAUAGUAGGCUUCACCACCUUAGAAAAUAUUGAGGCCUCAUCUACCUUAGAUCCAGACUUUAUUUGUAGAUGCAUUGAGCUCCUACUCAAAGUGUGCAUUCUGAUUGUUAAAGUUGCUUAUGUGUAGGUGAGCUGACAUGCAUAAAUUGAUUAUUCUUUUGCCAAUGUGCAUAUUUUCUGUUUCAGUGACUGCCUUUUUUUUUCUUUUAAUGCUAAUCCCUGCAACUAUCUGUUCUCUCUCCAUCUCUUUCUCCCCCCCCCCCCCCUCCCUAUCUCAAUAACUUAAACAAAAUCAUCUUCAUAUUAGCUUUUCCUGUUUCCUGUUUCUUUAUUAUAAUCCUCCCAUGAUUAUUAUCUGGCAGUUCUGACCUGCAAUUGGCAAUUGCGCUUCAACAACAGGAGUUUGAACAACAGCCCCAACGCCAGCUUUCCCAACAGCCACCUGUUAGUGGUCGAACGAGGCUUGUCACAGGUUCUCAUGCACCUAGGAACUCCAAUGCUCCACAGAAGAGUGAACCGAGAGCAAAGGAUAAGUGUAUUGUCAUGUGAGAAUCAUAUAUAUUGUAAAUGAUUGUGUACGCUGGUCAAAUGUAUUACAAUAUUCAAGUUUAGUUUUGGUGUAAAUAAGAAAUUACUGACAUUGAUUCAAAUAAAGGGCCAAAUUAUUAUUGCAUUUUA